CUGACAAUGCAUAGCAAUAGUGAAAUCUGAAAUAACUAAGAAUUAGGUACUACGGCCAUGGAUCUGGCUGGGUAAAAUCCAAUUGUAUAUUUCAGUUUCAUUUGCCUACCCUGUUUUGGUAUUUUGUUUUGUUUUAUUUUUUGUAUUUGGGAAAACAGGAUCACACUUUACCCCUCCCUGUUCUUUUUCUUAAUCCCUUUUCUAAAAGGGGGAAAAAUCCAAAUGGAUUUGAGGAUUGGACUGGUGUCAGCUGUGUUUUAUUGCACACCUAAAUCCUGAUUAUAGGCUUUUGAUUUCCCCCCAAAGCCUUUAUUUUGGCAGUUAAGCCAAAUGUGUUUUCCAAAAAGUUAGUUCAGAUAUUUUCUCCUCUUUCUUUUUUUCCUUCCUUCCCUUCCUUUUUCCCAUCUGACCCCAAACAUUAUUGUCCAAAACAUGACUGGACAGCAGCUUUUGUUUCUUGACCCUGUGAUGUGACAGUCUGCUGAUAGUGCCAGGGGGUGCAGUUUUUGGGUUACAGCUGUGACUUUAGCUAUUCAGUCAUAUUAGCAGGGAAAAAAAUGACUUGUUUCUGUUGUACUUGAGUCUUAAGAAAAAGUGCCCAUAGUUUAGUGACAAUUUCCAAAGGCUUUAGUACCACCUGUAUUUCAAAAUGGGGGACCCAAACUCCCGGAAGAAACAAGCUCUGAACAGACUACAUGUUCAGCUUAGAAAGAGAAAAGAAUCUCUAGCUGACCAGUUUGACUUCAAGAUGUAUAUUGCCGGGUGGUGCCUGUGGCUCAGUGAGUAGGGUGCCGGCCCUAUAUGCCGGUGGCGGGUUCAAACCCAGCCCCGGCCAAACUGCAACAAAAAAAAUAGCGGGGCAUUGUGGCAGGCGCCUGUAGUCCCAGCUGCUCGGGAGGCUGAGACAGGAGAAUCGCGGAAGCCCAAGAGCUGGAGGUUGCUGUGAGCUCUGAUGCCACCACACUCUACCAAGGGCGGCAAAAUGAAACUCUGUCUCUACAAAAAAAAAAAAAAGUAGAUAAAUAAAAAAAAGAUGUAUAUUGCCUUUGUAUUCAAGGAGAAGAAAAAGUCAGCGCUUUUUGAAGUGUCUGAGGUUAUACCAGUCAUGACAAAUAAUUAUGAAGAAAAUAUCCUGAAAGGUGUGCGAGAUUCCAGCUAUUCCUUGAAAAGUUCCAUAGAGCUUUUACAGAAGGAUGUGGUACAGCUCCAUGCUCCUCAAUACCAGUCUAUGAGAAGGGAUGUAACUGGCUGUAUUCAGGAGAUGGAUUUCAUUCUUUGGCCUCGGAAUGAUAUUGAAAAAAUUGUCUGUCUCCUGUUUUCUAGGUGGAAGGAAUCUGAUGAGCCUUUUAGGGCUGUUCAGGCCAAAUUUGAGUUUCAUCAGGGUGACUAUGAAAAAACAGUUCCUGCAUGUACUGAGCCGAAAGGACAAGACUGGAAUUGUUGUCAACAAUCUGAACCAGUCAGUGUUUCUCUUCAUUGACAGCACUUGCACACUCCAAAAAACAAAGCUGCAAUCUUCAAGUUAUGCAGCAUCUGCCUCUAUCUGCCACAGGAACAAGUCACCCACUGGGCAGUUGGCACCAUAGAGGAUCACCUCCGGCCUUAUAUGCCAGAAUAGAGUGCUGACCAGCAAAAUGGAGAAGAUCAGAGGGUGCAGCAGCAAUUUUUUUCUUAUUUUUCUUACCACUUUAUUCUUUCAGUUUUAAAAAAGUGGACUCAUGCACAGAACACUAUGCAUUUUGAAACUUGUUCAUCUUGGAUUUAUUUUUUUUUAAUCAUUUGUAUCUCAGAACUUAAAAAAAGAAUUAGAUGUCUUCUGCAUGGACUGUGUGAAAGAAGAUGCUUUGCAUACUUGCUGCACUGCAUCAGCAUCUUACUAAAAAUGUGAAAUCAAAGGACUGUUGUACACUGAUAUGCUUAAAUGUAUUCGAAAGCACAAGGUGAUACUCAUUUUUGAUGGUCUUCCCAUUAAUGCUGGGAAUUUUGCCUCUUUGACAUCUGUCAUCAGUAUUUAGAGGGUGAGAAGGGAAUAUAACAGGUAUAAAUAAAUUUUUAAAAACUUUAUAGCUUUGCUAUAAUCACCGUUGUUCCACAGCACUGUCAGAUUCAUUCUAAUAACCAGAAGUGGUUGUUUAAGAAAAAAGGAAAAUACAACCAUGGGAAAGAAAUCUUAAAUGAAAAAAACAUCUCACUGUAGGCAUUCUUGCCUCAUAUUUUACUGGUACUCAUAUUUCCUGGUACUCAUAAAUACCAGAUCUCUUUCCCCAAGUUGCCGUUGUAAAAGAGUAUUCUGCUGAGUGUGGGUGCAGUUGGGCACAUUGAAGCAGAUCUGGAGUCUGAAGUAGCUAAGGCAGCUAUAAAACUGAGAAAUAACAUUCAUAGCUGCAGAAACCAUGAUAGGUAGAGGACUUUCCCUUUUGGUUUUUUUUUUUGGGGUUUUAAAGAGAAGAGAUUUUAAUUACAAAAAAAAAUUCCAGUGAAUUGUGCAGAAAUAAUGGUUUCUACACUAUCUUAAAGAAAAACUUAGGGGUUUUUAGUAGAAAAGUUUAAAAAAGUUGGAAUCUUAAAUUGUAAAAAUAGCCAUUGUCAAAGUUCUAAAAGGAGAACUCAUUUUGCGCAAUGAACAUAAAGACUACUGUAUAGUUGUUGUUUUUUUUUUUCCUUUUAAAUGAAGAAAAGCUUUGCUUAAGGGUUGCAUACUUUUAUUGGAGUAAAUCUGAAUGAUCCUACUCCUUUGGAGUAAAACUAUUGCUUACCAGUUUCCAGUUGUAUUUAGCUUCUGGUUGGAAUUUGAAAAA